GGCGGGGGAAGCCUGGGUCUUUCUCAUUCACCACCCCCUUCUCCACUGCCUUGGAGAGUUCCAGAUUCCUCCUGAAACUUAGUGAAUCACUUAAUGCUGGACCUGAGAUUCCACCCGUGCAC